rnacentral:misc_RNA from 1 species
GGCAAAUAUACCAUGAUAUUAAGAAUUUCCAAAUCUCACGCCAGAGCACAAACUUCACUAGUCUAGAUAAAUGUACCACCACUAACCCCAAAUAAGAACCCUCUUCAAUUGUCUUUACAACAUCUAUGGUACCAUCACACUCAGCAUCUCUCAUGAUGCUUCUAUAUCUCCAAACAUUACUUGCGCAGACGGUUUCGACGCAGUGAACCUGUGUACUCCACCUACUUGCGGUCCUGAAAGUUUUGAAGUCCACAAAAAAACUCCAAUCUACCCAUCUAGUAUCGAUUAUAGGCUUUACCGAAGUCUUCACGCCUCUGACGCUGAAAGUCAUCGUAACUGUCAUGAGGUCUUGAUGGAUGAUAGUUAUCCAUAGGGUUUGGAUACCUUCCCCUUGGUUCCAUUGGCAUGUUGGGUCCAGAAUAAUGUGGAUUACCUGCAGAGUUGUCAUACUCUUGAUAACUCUGUUGAUUAUAACCACCAAACCCGGAGGCUGACAUUCGUUGUCCUGCCAGCUGUUGCCUCCUUACUGCAUCAAUUUGAAGAAACUCUUCCCAUUGCUUUGCAUGUUCAACUCUAAGGAUGGACAAUUUCUUCAUGUAGUUCUCUCUUACAUCUCUAAUGGCCUCUCUAUGCUUGUGAUUUUCUUCAUCUUCUUCCUUGUCCCGAAUUCUUCCUAGAUCUAUGGCAUCCUUUUGGUAUUCCAAUUCAACACUCUCCAAGGACAGUGGAACGGAGGGGCGGUCAAAAUCACGGUUAGAUUUCAUGUCAGAAUCACGUCUACUCGCAUCCCAACCAUCAGACCUGUAGACACCCCUUCCCUGACCAUGACCAUCGUAGGAAUUAUAUGAGUUACUCAUAUAAGCAGCACGUGCCGGAGACUUUGACAGGCUUGAUCGACCUCUAGCUCCAUCAUUACCAUAAGCUUGUGAACCACUCCUUGCAAUUUUGUGAAAAUCAUCAUGACCGCGAUCAUCAACAACCUUCUCUUGUCUUCCGUACCUAUGGUGUAACUGUGAUGCACUCUGAGGACUGUGAUUGGAUCUCUGAGAAUUAGAACGUACCAUACGAGCGCUAACAGGACUUCGGCACUCAGGCGACUUUGAUCUGGACACCUGAGAACUAGAAGGACCCUUUUUGUCGGCAUCUUCUUUAAUUUUAUGUACAGCAUCCACUCCUUUUCUUAGGAUCAAUCUGUCCUUCCCACUGACUAUAAUAAACUUCUCCUCCAUUUUGAUUUUGCAGCCAACAUCUUUC